AGAGAACUGUGCUCGUCGUCCCAAAAUGGAAGAUAGUAAGAUGCUAUGGUUCAUUGUCUACGUCUUGUCGAGUCAAGAAAAGCUGGAUUAUCCAACACUUUGCAAGCACCAGUGGGCUGGACAGGAGCUUGGGGGGGGGGGGGCACAUAUCUUAUAAGCAAAUUAAAUCAUAUUUUAAAUCGUAUCUUUUAAGCAAAUCAUAUCUUUCAAGAAAAUUAAUUAUCAGAAGGAAAUCUGUUUUUAAUUUGUGUGUGUACAUUUGGAACUGGCUGUGCUGUAACAGAUAAACUCGCCAAAGUGUUUUGUGUACAAAUCAAUGGGACGCUAAUGGGGAUUCAGUGUACUGACUAAUCAGACCAUAGUGAGGAUGAGUUAUCCCAGUGCAUAAUUAAACAGAUUUCACUGUGUUUAAUUGGGGAGUGGAGGUAGGGUGGGUACUGGGAUAGUUUUUAGGACAGGAGAUCGCUCCCAUAAGCGCUUGUAUUCUGGGUGUAGCACUCGCAGAUAUCUUAAAUGCUUUGCCUUUACUGCGUCAAAAGAAAGCCAGGUGUAGAGGAGGAGACGGGAUCUGUUUUGAAGAGCUCAGAGGGAUCUGUUUUGAAGAGCUGGGCCAACAGGGACCUUUAGCAUUUAGUGUAAACUUUAAUAGAGUUGCAGCUGAUUGCAAGAGAAGUACUAUUUCUUUUCAUGGCCAGUUUCUACUUCUAAACUAGCUAAAUCAGAAAGGUCCACUUUUAGAAACAGAUUUUGCUCAUGCUUGCCUUGUUAGCGUUCUCUGAUGAAUCCUUACCAAACAUGGAAAUUAGUGCACUGUCCAGAUGAUCUUUUUUUUUUUUUAAAGCCUGCUGUUUCAAGUCCCUUUUGCCCUGACUUCUUCGAGUUUGAGAGUGCUGGUGCUCAUCCUUUGUGCUUGCUGUCUUGUGGCUGGAAGGUCUGGGUAGCUGCUACUGUUCCUUUUAUUAAUCAAACCCAUCGUUUCCACCACAAGAUUCAAUUGACCUAAUCUUUACAUACUGUACAACGGUGGUCAGCAGUUUUUUCCGGCAGUGGGCCCCAAUGGCCAAGAUUGUGUCUGAGGUGGGCUGGCAUUACUCACUGCACCCACUUCUCCCUGACACUCAGUCAGGCCAUGGCGUG
rnacentral:lncRNA from 1 species